rnacentral:rRNA from 1 species
GAACGGAGGAUGCAAGUGUUUGUAAGUCCGGAAUACUGGGGCGGUAAAAGCGUCUGUAAGGUGGUUCCGAAAAGUCCAACUGUUCAAAAAUUUGAGGCUUAACUUCAAAGAUGCCGUGGAAACUUUCAAACUAGAGUAUGGUAGGGGUAGAGGGAAUUUCCAGUGGAGCUGGUGAAAUGCGUAGAUAUUGGAAGGAACACCAGUGGCGAAGGCGACCACCUGGACUGAUACUGAACACUGGAGGUGCGAAAGCGUGGGGAGCGAACAGG